GUAAUGGCUGGAGCUAAGAUAUCAGCAUAUAUUUUUAAUACCCAAUUUGGAAGUUUGUCUGGACCAUUUGCUCUGGAUAUACUUAUUUUGCGUAACUUCUGCUGAACAGAUGUUAGGCUAACUUGUAUAGGGUCAUCUUCCUCUUGGGUUACAUGGGCAUCGUCUGUUAAAGGGGUAUAAUCUUUUGUGACACUAAUAAAGGCU